rnacentral:misc_RNA from 1 species
UCCGAGUUGACCCCGGCAGUCUCCUAUGAGUCCCCACCAUGACGUGCUGGCAACAUAGAACGAGGGUUGCGCUCGUUGCGGGACUUAACCCAACAUCUCACGACACGAGCUGACGACAACCAUGCACCACCUGUACACCGACCACAAGGGGGCGACCAUCUCUGGCCGUUUCCGGUGUAUGUCAAGCCUUGGUAAGGUUCUUCGCGUUGCAUCGAAUUAAGCCACAUGCUCCGCUGCUUGUGCGGGCCCCCGUCAAUUCCUUUGAGUUUUAACCUUGCGGCCGUACUCCCCAGGCGGAGUGCUUAAAGCGUUAGCUGCGCCACUGAGCAGCAAGCUGCCCAACGGCUGGCAUUCAUCGUUUACGGCGUGGACUAC